rnacentral:rRNA from 1 species
GAUGAACGCUGGCGGCGUGCCUAAUACAUGCAAGUCGAGCGAACGGACGAGAAGCUUGCUUCUCUGAUGUUAGCGGCGGACGGGUGAGUAACACGUGGAUAACCUACCUAUAAGACUGGGAUAACUUCGGGAAACCGUAGCUAAUACCGGAUAAUAUUUUGAACCGCAUGGUUCAAAAGUGAAAGACGGUCUUGCUGUCACUUAUAGAUGGAUCCGCGCUGCAUUAGCUAGUUGGUAAGGUAACGGCUUACCAAGGCAACGAUGCAUAGCCGACCUGAGAGGGUGAUCGGCCACACUGGACCUGAGACACGGUCCAGACUCCUACGGGAGGCAGCAGUAGGGAAUCUUCCGCAAUGGGCGAAAGCCUGACGGAGCAACGCCGCGUGAGUGAUGAAGGUCUUCGGAUCGUAAAACUCUGUUAUUAGGGAAGAACAUAUGUGUAAGUAACUGUGCACAUCUUGACGGUACCUAAUCAGAAAGCCACGGCUAACUACGUGCCAGCAGCCGCGGUAAUACGUAGGUGGCAAGCGUUAUCCGGAAUUAUUGGGCGUAAAGCGCGCGUAGGCGGUUUUUUAAGUCUGAUGUGAAAGCCCACGGCUCAACCGUGGAGGGUCAUUGGAAACUGGAAAACUUGAGUGCAGAAGAGGAAAGUGGAAUUCCAUGUGUAGCGGUGAAAUGCGCAGAGAUAUGGAGGAACACCAGUGGCGAAGGCGACUUUCUGGUCUGUAACUGACGCUGAUGUGCGAAAGCGUGGGGAUCAAACAGGAUUAGAUACCCUGGUAGUCCACGCCGUAAACGAUGAGUGCUAAGUGUUAGGGGGUUUCCGCCCCUUAGUGCUGCAGCUAACGCAUUAAGCACUCCGCCUGGGGAGUACGACCGCAAGGUUGAAACUCAAAGGAAUUGACGGGGACCCGCACAAGCGGUGGAGCAUGUGGUUUAAUUCGAAGCAACGCGAAGAACCUUACCAAAUCUUGACAUCCUUUGACAACUCUAGAGAUAGAGCCUUCCCCUUCGGGGGACAAAGUGACAGGUGGUGCAUGGUUGUCGUCAGCUCGUGUCGUGAGAUGUUGGGUUAAGUCCCGCAACGAGCGCAACCCUUAAGCUUAGUUGCCAUCAUUAAGUUGGGCACUCUAAGUUGACUGCCGGUGACAAACCGGAGGAAGGUGGGGAUGACGUCAAAUCAUCAUGCCCCUUAUGAUUUGGGCUACACACGUGCUACAAUGGACAAUACAAAGGGCAGCGAAACCGCGAGGUCAAGCAAAUCCCAUAAAGUUGUUCUCAGUUCGGAUUGUAGUCUGCAACUCGACUACAUGAAGCUGGAAUCGCUAGUAAUCGUAGAUCAGCAUGCUACGGUGAAUACGUUCCCGGGUCU